NUACCAUGAUAAGGACACUUUCGUAAUAACUCCUUCAACCGCUCUCAUGCCUCAUAUAAAGAGUCUUCAUCAAAUUGCUAAAAUGAAAUGACUUAUUUUAGAGCUU
rfam:Gossypium hirsutum cultivar TM-1 chromosome 4, whole genome shotgun sequence